GCCCGGAUGGUGAAAUUGGUAGACACACCAGCUUGAGGGGCUGGCGCCGGUUACGGUGUGCAAGUUCGAAUCUUGUUCCGGGCA
rnacentral:tRNA from 1 species